AGCUCAGACACAUGGCACUCUUCUACAGCUCCGGAGGGGCUGUGGACUUUAGCAUCAAUCUUGCCCUUUGCCCCGUUCAGCCUUAUAGCAAAGGAUGCCGGCUGAUUAACUUUUAAUCCAGACUCCUGAAGGCUAGUGACAGUCAGCCUGCGAGCAUCAUCAGACGGGGCGAUGAUGGGAACCAGGUAGGGGCUUUCAGGAAUGUGCUCAUCAUUGAACUUUAUGGACACCUCAUAGUUGCCUGGCUCUUGAACUAUGUAAGAUACACCACAAGAUCCAUCUUUAUGGUCUUCAAAGGCAAUUUCUGCUUUACUUGGACCUUCUACAGCAAUGGACAGUCCUCCAGCUCCAGCCUCCCGUGUCCAUAUGCUGAACUCAGCUGGGACACCCGUCUCUCCACGCUCCAGCCCUGGGCCUCCAGCUCUCACUUUAUGGGCUCCUCCCUCGCCGAGCGGCCCCACGGUGAACUGGAAGGGGCUGCCUGGCACGGGCUGCCCUCUGUAUUUGACAUCCACCGUGUGGACCCCCAUUUCUUGCGGCACAAAGCGGACACAGUAGGUGUUUUUGUCAACUUCUACUAUUUCUGCAUCGGAGUUUCUUCCAGAGGGACUAGUUACCUGGGCCGUCAUGUCCCCACAGUCAAUUUCUGGGAUUUUUAGGUUUAGAUCACAUAUGCUUCCAACUGUUGCAACAGAGGGAGCCCGUCUUGUUCGUGUGAUGCUCUCCUUAACUCUUCCCUCACCACUUAUCUUCACAGUAAAUGGGCUGCCUGGAAUAUGUUCAUCUGCAAAUUUAGUGGACACAAUGUACACGCCAGGUACAGUUGGAAAAUAAGAUACUUUGCAAGUUCCAUCUUCUAGGUCUUCAGUUUGGAUAUCUACCUUGCUGGGUCCUUCAACUGCCAGUGAGAUCCCACCAUAACCUGCAUCUCUUGUGUCUACAAUGAAGUCACACAUUUCAAAGGUUCGCCCUUCUACCAAACCACGUCCAUAAACUCUUGCUCGUCUGGCAUCUCCUAUCUCAGACUGGACCACCAUGAUUGUCACAGGGCUGUUUGGUACGUGGUUCCCAUUUUUCUUGAUGCUAACCAGAUGUUCU
rnacentral:lncRNA from 1 species